UAAUAAGUGAUGAUUAGGAUAAGUAAAUUUAUUAUAGAUAUUUAGAGAAAAAGUGGUUGGUGAAAACUUUUUACUAUAUUAUUUUGAAGCUGCCUAGGAGCUAUAAUUAACUAAGUGAUGUGUUUUGUUUACACAUAAUUAGGGUGGUACCGCGGAAAUUUUGCCUUUCGUCCCUAGG
rnacentral:ncRNA from 1 species